CCCUUAGAUGUCCUGGGCCGCACGCGCGCUACACUGAUGCAUGCAACGAGUUUAUAACCUUGGCCUGAAAGGUCUGGGUAAUCUUUUGAACGUGCAUCGUGAUAGGGAUAGAUAAUUGCAAUUGUUAAUCUUGAACGAGGAAUUCCUAGUAAACGCGAGUCAUCAGCUCGCAUUGAUUACGUCCCUGCCCUUUGUACACACCGCCCGUCGCACCUACCGAUUGAAUGGUUCGGUGAAGAUCUCGGACUUCGAUAUUUAUUCUUUAUUGAGUUUAUAUUGUGGGAAGUUAUCUAAACCUCAUCAUUUAGAGGAAGGAGAAGUCGUAACA
rnacentral:rRNA from 1 species